AUUUAUUUACUAUUGAAAUCUACAAAAAAUUAAAAUAAAACUAGUUAAAAACAUUUAAAAAUUAAGUUUAAAUGACGAACAAUUUAGAAAUGUUUAAAUUUUUUGUGGUGUAACGGACGGAGCCCUUGGGAAACCGUUGCGGAGCACCAAGGGCUCCGCGGAGCACAGUUUGGGAACCACUGGUCUAUACCAUAAUUUGAAAUCUUUACGUUUUCAUAUUAUUUUUGACGAUUUUUAGCCUGGUAUAUAAUAAACUUAACACCUCUGGUGCACAAAACAAAAAUAUACUAAUUAUACUAGAUAAUUGUUGUUGUACCUAAUAAUAAUUUUCUGCACAACGCAAAAAGCUUAUAUCUAUUGCAUAUUUAUGUAUAUAAUAACUAAUAAGACAUAAGUAGGUAUUUAUCGUUACAUAUUAUAGACAGUAUUUAAUAUGUUCAUGGUCAAAAGUAGCUGUUAACAAUUUUACACACCUGGAAAGAAGUACAGCUCAUUGCCGAGCAUCGCAUCCGUGGAGUAUAAAUUCAACCUAUCGAUAUACCGUGCGUCCGUGCUCCUCAAUAUAGAUUAAAAAGACAAAAUCGUUGCAAUAUUAUAUACUCGGCAAUGGGCUGUACUUUCUUUCCAGGCGUGUAAAAUUGUUAACAGCUACUUCUCACUGACAGGUACCUACACGAUAGAACACUUAGAAUAAUAGGUAGAUAAUGUUGAAAUAUUUGUCUGGCAAAGAUGAAUAAAUAGAUAUAUAUAAACACCGAAAAAUAAUUUCCUUGACGACAACAUUUCUAUUGUUCUUAUGGUAAAAAAGUCACCAAAGUAGCUUAGAACAAAACAAAACAUGGGUAAAUAAAUGAAAAAAGUUACCAAAUAGCUUUUUGAACAAUAAUUAAUAAAAAAACAAAAACAAAAACUUCGGGCAGGACGACACAAAACUGAGCAGAGAGAAUAUAAUAUAGGAGAUGGCGUAUGGUACAACUAUAUAACUAGAGUUCUAUUGGUCACCUUCGCAGCACAUUUUCACGACCGAUGCUGUGCGGGCGAACGAGUGUCGCGGGCGUGUUUACUUGGACGCGCGACGCGACGACCAUCUCGACGGAAAACGAGGCUCGAUUUCUUCGGGACGGCGGCAAUGGCUGCUAGCGCGCGAUGUCGUGCGCUUCGGCGCCUCGGCGGUGUACGAUUUUGGCGACGACGGAAGGUGGAAAACGAAACUCGGAACGAGCUUAUAAUAUAUAAUAAGAGUUUGGUGCUACAUAUGAUCGGCGCCUAUCCUGUUCAAUCUGUACACAUCAGACCUACCCACUACCAACCUUACCGUCACUGAUGACUUCGCUGAUGAUAAAGCCAUCCUAGCCCUCCACCACGACCCUCUUGAGGUGAAAAAAAACGAUUGGUGCUACAUACAUACGGAACUAGCGGCGGCGGCGACCGGUGCGGCUAAGACUUGGCCGGCGGCGUCGGAAUUGCCAAGGGACAAAAAAAAAGAGGGUAUGCGGACGGCGGCUCACUUUUUAUAUUUUAUAUGCAUCUUAUACAUUACCCAUAUCGAUAAUAAAAAAAUAAAAAAUAAACUUUUUCGCGAAAAUUUACUAGGUAGUUUUUUGAGGUAUAUAUAUCCCCUCCACCCAAUAAAAAUUCUUGUCUACGCCACUGAUUUGAAUCAUUCGAUUUAGUUUAUAGUUAGUUGUUACAACCUUAAAACUAUUUCUUUUAUUCAUUUAUACAUUAAAACAUUUGAAUUUAUGAAUAAUGAGAUAAUGGAAACUGACUGAAACAGCAAAAUUAGAGUAGGUACUUAGUACAUACCUAUAUAAAUUAAAACCUAUGUGAUAUAUCCAAGUAGUCUACCUAAAUGAUAAGUAGGUACUUCUAUAUAAAGAAUAAAUUGGUGUUUCAACUCUUUAAUUUCUAUUGAUUAUAUUAUUUAUGAA